rnacentral:rRNA from 1 species
GACUCUCGCCAACGGAUAUCUCGACUCUCGCAUUGAUGAAGAAUGUAGUGAAAUGCGAUACUUGGUGUGAAUUACAGAAUCCCGUGAACCAUCGAGUCUUUGAACGCAAGUUGUGCCCGAAGCCAUCCGGCCGAGGGCAUGUCUGCCUGGGCGUC